rnacentral:rRNA from 1 species
AAUCUUCCGCAAUGGACGAAAGUCGGACGGAGCGAUGCCGCGUGAGUGAUGAAGGUCUUCGGAUCGUAAAACUCUGUUGUUAGGGAAGAACAAGUACCCGAGUAAUAUGCCGGUACCUUGACGGUACCUAACCAGAAAGCCCCGGCCAACUACGUGCCAGCAGCCGCCGUAAUUCGUAGGGGGCAAGCGGCGUCCGGAAUUAUUGGGCGUAAAGGGCACGCAGGCGGUUAUUUACGUCUGAUGUGAAAUCUUGUGGCUUAACCACAAGCGGUCAUUGGAAACUGAAUAACUUGAGUACAGAAGAGGAGGGUGGAAUUCCACGUGUAGCGGUGAAAUGCGUAGGGAUAUGGAGGAACACCAGUGGCGAAGGCGGCUCUCUGGUCUGUAACUGACGCUGAGGUGCGAAAGCGUGGGUAGCGAACA